UAUAAAUGUAUUAUUUUACAGUAGAGAAAUAAUUCAAGGUAAAGCAGAAGUUGGAACCUGAAAAUCCUAAAAUUCUUCAUCAACGGCUAUUUUCCUUAAUGGAAUGUUGAGUACUCCUUAAAACACAGUUGUUCUACAACACUUAGGUGUCCAUUCGUGAUGAGAAAUUUGAGCAGUGUAACUAAACUUCAAUGCAUUGUAUUGUUAAACGAUGCUCUGAUAGAUAUUUCAUUAACUCAAACUCUGUAGAAUUCAAAAACUCCUUAACAUUACUCAAUACUACAUCUAGUUUCGUCCAAUAUUGAGAUUCAAUAUUUUUGAAGUCUAGAAGCUUAUCCUCCAUAUGUAUACUUCUAACAAUACCCGAAUUUUUCUUGUUCACUUCAGAAGGAGGGAGUGAAUAUUAUAAAAAUGAAGCUCUCCUUCAAAGGAAUUAGUUUCUUUUAGAAAAUCAGCCUUUCAUUACAUAAAAUAUUUUAAGCUGAUGUUGUCGACUAAAUAAACUAAUUGUUGAAUUUCAAGAAGAUUAGGUAAACUAAGGUUACAAGUAGGCAUAUCCUGGAAGAAGUUACAAACUCACAUACAAACUAAUAAGUGAUAUCUUUAUUCUUAGAUUGGAAAAAGGUGUAUUAUCAGUACUUUGAGAGAAGUGGACUAUUAGAAAUUAAUAGAAGGUAAAAAUGUUAUCUAGAUUGUGUACAUAUCUAAAGCAUUUAACCCUAUGAGCAACAACUACUAGAAUAGUUGUGGGAACGCAAUUCUCAAGAGGUAAAAAAAGACUCUAGCAUUUAACAAGUUUGAAACAAAUUGCUUUCUUGGUAUAAACUAUAAUGCAGGAUACUUACAAGAUACUACCCUCCUCCAUUGCCUUUCAUGAGGCCAUCCCAAUGGUUUUUAUGUCCUCAUCUCGUUCAUUUAAGCUAAUAAUUAUAUCUCCAGCUACUAAAUCAUUAAUGUUCAAAACUGCCAAAUGAAAAAGUUGAACCGUGGAUUGGGAAAAAUAAAGAAUUAUUCUAUUCUAGCUGUACUUCCACUGCUAAAAAAAAGAUGUUUGGAACUGUCCUGAACAAGAUUCAAUACAUAUGCCUGGAGAUGUGAACAAAAACUUCAAAGCAUUUACCAUAGUACACUCAGAAACUUAACUCUAGGAGAGAAUAUCCAAGUCUUAAUUCUUAUGCUGGUGAAAACAGUUAUAACUAAAGAGUAACUUAGUGAGAAACACACUGGUAAUUUGACAUGAUUUUCUUUUAUUAUUUACACUUUGAGACAAAAUGUUUACAAAGGCACAAAAUUAAUUUGUCUAUGUAAGAUUUUUUUAUGUAUAUCAUAACUCAUAAUAUUAGUAAAACUCAAGGCUGUGCAUAGUAAAUAAAGGAAAAGGAAAGGGAAAUAAAGUUAAGUUACAGUUAUGUAAAAAUUAGAGGAAAAAUGAAAAUGCACUAAUUUCCAUUAGUUUAAUGCUAAACAAAGUGAAAGAGAAUAUUCGGAAUUAAAUCAUCAACUGAAAUGAAAUUGAAAAUCCAAAACUGAAUUUGGUGACUAAUAAAUCCAAACAGCAUUCUGAAUUCGAAUGAAAUUUAAAGGGCACUUCUUCAAAACAAUGUCAAUACAAAUAACCUUUUUCCCUUGUUAAAAUAGAAGUACAUUUUUUCGUGAUGGAUGGUCAAUGAAGUUUGUAAGAAAGUUAUCAACUUUAAUGAUUUGUGUAACUAUAUAAUUUACUUAUAACUAACGGGGAAGGAAGAAAAUAAAUAGAGAAGAAAGAGAAAAAAGAAAUGAAGCACUUCUAUUGAGACUUGCAGUUCGAAAAUAGCUAAUUUGUUCUAGAAUUUUGUUAAUUACAAUAUUUUGUUAGUGAAAAUUUCCGGUGAACAAUACCUUGAAAGUCAAUAAAAAAGUAAGAGGGAAGAUAACAACUAAUCACGUAAUAUUGAAAACAAUAAAUAGCAUGGCUUCAAAGUUAAUCAUUUAAAAACUCCACAAGAAUUAAAUUGUUUUCCUUUCUUACAUUCAUCCCAAAUUAAAAGUAAAUAUAGUAUCAAAAAAUUGCACAGUAACAAAAGAAGAAGAAGAAGAAGAAGAAGAAUUGAGUAGUGGAGAUUAUAAAAUAGUGUAACUAUGAUCAAAAGUAAUCACAAUUAAGAUAGCGUAAAGAUGGUAAAACUGUGAUGAUGGACAGUUUAUUUGACAAACUUCAUAUACAUGUCAUAGUACUUAUAUAAUAUGAGUUCAUUUUAAUAUUCGAGAUAACAAAGAUAACAGAAUCCAAACGCUCAUUAUUCAAUAAAUCAUUUCUGUUUAUCGAUGUGAAAUUGUAACUGGUAAUUUUUGUCGUUUCUGAAAUCAAGUUCUCAAAUUUGAACAAGAUUAUUCCAAAAAAAAAAAAAAGAAAGAAAGAAAUAAACUUUUUACAUUACCUGCAAGUGAAAGAUUAAAUCCCCAAUCCAUUGAAAGCCCAGUGUUGAAAUUAAGUAAAGAGCAUGUUCUAUUACAGUUUUUAACCACUACUCUAAAGAAGGGGAAAAUGGAACCAAAAAAACUUGCUCUAUUUCAAAGUCAACAAAAUAAAAAUUGAUGCCCCACCAAAACAUAAUCGUUACACAUUCAUUGCUUAGUAUAGAAAAGGAGAUAGAGAAUCACCUUGUAAAGACUUUGAAAGCAAAAUUACUGGUGAAAUAUCUAGUCUUGAAUGCGAUGCGGAGGUCGGUAGAUGAAAGAGACGGUAGGAUAAAUAGAAGUGAAAUAAGUUUUGUGGAAGGAAGGAUCGAGUUGUGUUUUAAGCUGUUUGGGAGAGAGUGAAGAUGGCAGAGCGUCGGAGAGAAGGGCGAACGGAGGAAGAAGGCUAGAAUUCAAUUGGAACGAAGUGUAAAUGAUCAUCUUUUUACAGACCCAGUUUGUGAACAGUAGAAAAAUCAGUUUAGGUGUGAAACAGAUGGUGCACAAGUGAACAGUAAAUCAUCA
rnacentral:lncRNA from 1 species